AUUGAACGCUGGCGGAAUGCUUUACACAUGCAAGUCGAACGGUAGAGGGGGCAACCCCUCGAGAGUGGCGAACGGGUGAGUAAUAUAUCGGAACGUGCCCAGUCGUGGGGGAUAACGUAGCGAAAGUUACGCUAAUACCGCAUACUAUCUAAGGAUGAACGCGGGGGAUCGAACGACCUCGCGCCAUGGUCACGGCCGAUAUCAGAUUAGGUAGGUGGUGGGGUAAAGUCUCACCAAGCCAACGAUCUGUAGCGUGUCUGAGAAGACGACCAGACACACUGGAACUGAGACACGGUCCAGACUCCUACGGGAGGCAGCAGUGGGGAAUUUGGGACAAUGGACGCAAGUCUGAUCCAGCCAUUCCGCGUGCAGGAUGUAGGCCGUCGGGUUGUAAACUGCUUUUGUACGGAACGAAAAGGUCUCUCUUAAUACGGGGGACUCAUGACGGUACCGUAAGAAUAAGCACCGGCUAACUACGUGCCAGCCGCCGCAGUAA
rnacentral:rRNA from 1 species